rnacentral:lncRNA from 1 species
CGCGAAAAGAGGGAAAGGAAUUUCCCUCUGAAUAUCUCUAUGCACUCAAUGGAGGAGUUUGGAAGCAUGGUGCAUUUAAGUUCAUCUUCUUCUCCCAUCCCCUCAUCAAAAUCAUUUUCAUCUGUUUUUUUUUUUUCUCUCUCAUUUUCUCGAGAAAAAGACAGAAAGUGGAAAAAGAAGAAGAGACAAAUUAACGAGGUCAGUUUCCCUAAACCUAAAACCCACUUUUCAUUCCUACUUUUUGUUGAUUUUCGAAAGAAAACUUGUCUUCUUCCUUUUCAUGUCAUAUAUACCAACAUCCACAUAAUUAUAUAUAUAUAUAUAUAUAUUAUAUGCACGUCGUCUAUUGCUCCGCAUGCAGGCACGGUCCAUGGGUUUACUUGUUUUUCUUUUCUUCUUUUCAAAUACGUUUCUCUUUUGUAUAUUCUAAUUGUUUCUUCAAUAUGAAACUCCUCCAUCGAUCCAGAUUCUAGGUUUUCAUUUAUUUAAUAAUUUUUGGGGAUAAAUAAUUGAAACUGGUGACUGGGUUUCAUUUGCGAAUGUGAUGUUUCCUUGGAUUAAGGAUCGUUUUCACAUACAUAAUUCAUCUAAUUUUCGAAUUAAUUAUAUCAAAAGCCCUCAAUUAUUGCUCAACCAACAGUUUGAAAUGUAUAUACACACACACAUAUAUAUAUAUAUAUUAUAUUAGGGAAUUCAUAUGUUUUAUGAGUAAAUUUCACGAUGCAACGUAAUGGGUAUAUUAUAUCCGAUGUAUUCUGAUCUUUUUUUUUUUUUCAACAGUCAAUAAUUUCAACUUUUAAAGAUGGAGGGUAUAUUUCAUAUAGAAAAAUUUACAGAGGUUUUUCCUUUUCUUAAUCAGAAGCUAC